UUAAGCAUUUACUGUAUCUGAACCCUGCGGCUGUUCCUGCUUUCAGCCACUUCUGCAUUGAGAAGGGCCGGGGAUGUGGUGGAAGCUAGAUGUCACCAAUUAGUUAAUGUUCCAUAUAAAGAAACUGUCAUGUGACACCAGUACCUCCUAAAAUUGGUCAGUGUGGUAGAUGGUUUAGAGAAAAAAGGAACCUGUUCCACAGGGCUGUGACCAUUCGAGGGAAGCACAUUCAAAGAUGUAGAUCCCCUCAGAGAAGUUUUCCAUUUCCCUGAAGUUAAAGAUCUUCAAAUGACUGCAAAUAACAUGAGGAUAUAUAGAAAAAUGCCCUUCCCCAAUUUCCAAAUCGUGAAAAUUUGGCUCAGCAGGUGUACACUUAAAGCGUUCUGGGAAUAUGAAUCCCUUCUGCACCCUGGAAUCACCAGUCCAGCCAUGCAUGGAGCUGGGGAAAGCAGGCCCUGAAUUGUCUAGAGAGACUUGGUGGAGGAGGCCACGGCCCGCCUUGUCCCUGCCGGGUCCCGGCCAGGAACAACUGGAUGUUGUAAAUGUUUCUCAUCUGGCCUUAAAAUCCAUGAAAGCUGGAAAAUCACAAGGCAUCUGUGCAUAUACUGGUGGAUUUUAAUGAGAGUCCUGUGUUUGGAGCACCAGAAAUAAACCAGCUUCAGAAGCAAAGAUCUGAACGUCUAUGACACUCUUUCGAGCUGACACAGUGAAGAACAUAGAAGGAGAACUCACCCAGUCUGCCAG
rnacentral:lncRNA from 1 species